CCUACGGGAGGCAGCAGUAGGGAAUCUUCGGCAAUGGGGGCAACCCUGACCGAGCAACGCCGCGUGAGUGAAGAAGGUUUUCGGAUCGUAAAGCUCUGUUGUAAGAGAAGAACGUGUGUGAGAGUGGAAAGUUCACACAGUGACGGUAACUUACCAGAAAGGGACGGCCAACUACGUGCCAGCAGCCGCGGUAAUACGUAG
rnacentral:rRNA from 1 species